ACUCGAUUGCGCGAGAACGGUCGGUCGAAACAGGACAUACGUAAGCACAUUAGUCCCAUUUAACACGUUCCAGUGGCUUUGUCUACGGUAUCAUGUGUGUUUGUGGUAUAAGCGUCGAAUAAUUGGGUUGUCGGGAGCAUGUAGGAGCAUUCGGACGUAGGUGGAAGAGGAAGAUAGUGUCUGUGAGCGUAAGCGAAGUGCGCGAAGAACGGAAUACGCUGCGUUCCUUUGAUGAGAGAUAGUAAGGAUGACGACGCACUGUAAGCCGACUGUAAGGAGACUGCGUGUAACUACGGGCCGUUUACAACACAGCGGGUCUGAUCUUGCAAGGGAGCCCCCCAGGGCGAGUUAGACUAGACAAAGCCAUUGAGAGGAUGUCGCCCGCUGGGGGGUACAGAUAGGACAUACGAUGCUCCCUCUUCCUUCUCCUCCACAAGAUGAUAUCGUAUCUCCUCUACGUCCCAGGAUGAUGCUUCGUCUCGUUCUAAAGAAAAAGCCCCAGUUUGGAACUCCAGUUUGUAGCUUCGCGCUAAAUAAACUCAUCAUAUUUACAAAA